CACGGUACUACUUCAAACCAUGCUGCUUCUGCUUCCGUUUAAUAAAACACGUGAGCUUCAAGCACUUCCGGUUUUCCAGCGUUCUAAGGUGGUGUGACAGCUGAGCUGAAGAGUGAAGGUCCUCAUUCCGCUAACCUGGCCCUUUCCUGCCCUCGAGUGUGGGCCUCCAGUGAUGUAGCACACUGUACAUUAAGACACCUGCCUGACAGCUGGACAGAGUCAGCCUCCCAGCCAGGGGCACUGAAAAUGGGUAAUAAACCUGCCCUUUGGUCCUUGGAUCAGAUACCCCUGGGGGACCAUCACCCUACAUCCAGCAAAUCGCCAAGAAGGACUCAUCUGCUGCAUCCAAACUGUGAUUCUCUCAGGCGGACAGCUGGACAGAUUUGCUUCCAUGUAUCUGGGAACCCAGACUGAGGGGUUGGGGGGCAAUAUUGUCAGGAGGGAAAUGUAAAAAAGAGUUUGUGAUAUACUGAUGUAAAGUGUUUAAAUUUACCCACGUGUGUGUAAUCAGAGGCCUGUGUGUGUUGCAGUGCCUGAUCAUGGAAGUUUUAUGUAACCAAAAACGAUGUUAAAUCAUGUGACAUUGGUGACUGUAGAGGUGACAUAGGAGAUUGUAGUACAUACUGUAAAUAUAGUUCGACUUUUUUCCAGUGGUCAUCCAGUAGCCUAGGCUGUGCUCUCUUGACAACCAUCACAGGACAGCCUGUCUCAGACGUAUAGCUACAGAACAAUAUCGUGGGAGACGAAGUCUGUGGUGAUAGUGUUGGACUAUUUGGAAGUGCCUGUUCGAAGUGAAAUGUAAUUGCUGAAAGCAACUAAUAUCCUGUAUGGGUUGUUAAAAAAAGUAAUCAAAGGAGCUGAGUGUAGCACAGAGUUUACGCUAACUGCUGCAGAAAUGAUAGGAUGAGAAAUGAAUGGAUGUCGGACUGAUCCUAGGUGCAGCAUCUGAUUCACUGACCUGAGGGCUUUGGGAUGCAUUUACCGUGUAUGAAAUGUACUGGCCGAAGUUAAAUGAGUUCAUGCAAGGAGACUUCUGCCCGUCCGGACACUUUUCUGUAGGGUUGUGCUUUAGUCCCUGGUGGAACAAAGGGUGCGAAAACCAGUGUGUUGGCUCCACUGUGAUCUGAGGAAACUGGAGGAUAUCUCCAGGAGUCUGGAAACGGAGUAGUGUGGUAAUUGACAAGCUCUGUAAAGGCUGGUGCAGAUACAGCUUGGUACAGUCGGUACAGCUCAGUUGCUCUCUACUCUACACACGGUGGGGAAUUGGGCAGGUGGCAACCACAGGAACCUCAGUGCUUGUUCCUGUUAUCGUGUCUUAUCAGAAAAUAAUGUCUAACAUACAGGAGCUCAGUCACUCCAUGCAGCGAUUUCACCGGGGCUAGAGCGAGGUUUCGGGGAAUAUUAUCGGAUGUAAAGGACUUCCAGGCAUUCCAAUUGGGAAUGGCUGAGGCCAUAAGAGGUGUGUAAAUUACCCCGACUGUCAGGGCAAAGGAGUCAACAGGCUUGGCUUUGCUAACCCCACGAGGAACUGUGUCCCCUGGACGGGCAGGGGCCACAGCAGAGAGGGCAGUACAGCAAGUUUGUGUGGGUACCCUUGUUAAGUGAAUUUAGUUUAAAUUGUGUGUUAUUGCACCUCUUUCUGUGGGUAUGUAUCACUGGCUAGGCUGGGACAUUGUUAUUGUAGUCGUGCACUAAUGGAGUCUCGCACAAUCUCUCCUUGCACUAACCCCCUGCAACGGAAACUUCGCCUAUUAGCUCCGGUGUUUCAUUCAUUCCCAACUGGGAAAGGGCAGCAGUCGAGCCCCUGCUCUCCCCAAAACUGACCAGAGACAGCUGCUGUCAUGAUUACACCUCACAUCCUCCCCCAUAUCGUGAGGGGUCAAUUGCAAUGAACUUUCGGAUUUAGCGUGCAUCUUCACGCUAAGUUGCGGACUAGUUAAUACGGUACUAUCUGGUGAUCAUCUCCAGCUUUGAGCUCAGUUGCAAUGGAAAAAUGUUCCUUUUCACCCUCUGAAAUAGAGCACGAUUCCAGUCCAAUUCUUACCAUGGAUGUUGCUUUCUUUGCUGGCGUGAGAGAGGUGUAGAAUUGGCCACUUGUGGGUAUUUCCCUCCCGCAUGCUGAAAAAAUAAAGUGUCUUUUUUUUCCCCCAA